rnacentral:snoRNA from 1 species
CUGUAAAGAAAGAAAAUUUCUCUUUUCCACAUUGGGGCCCUGUGUGCAGUGACUGCAAACAGCAGCCUGCUGGGUAGUGUCUGCCGUCUGUCACUUGCCUGGGUUGCCAUAAGGGAUAUUGGAGACAGCC